UAGAAAGACUAUUUUUAACACCUGUAGAGUGAAGAACAACGGGUCAUUAAGUCAAUUGACUCUUUCAGCUGCCUGAAUAGAAAUGCCACUGCUGCUGCUGAGCCAU